CCUACGGGUUGCUGCAGUGGGGAAUAUUGCACAAUGGGGGAAACCCUGAUGCAGCGACGCCGCGUGGGUGAUGAAGGUUUUCGGUUUGUAAAGCUCUAUCAGUAGGGAAGAAAAUGACGGUAUCUGACGAAUAAGCCCCGGCUAACUACGUGCCAGCAGCCGCGGUAAUACGGAGGGGGCAAGCGUUAUCCGGAUUCACUGGGCGUAAAGGGAGCGUAGGCGGGUAGGCAAGUCAGAAGUGAAAGCCCAGGGCUUAACCUUGGGACUGCAUUUGAAACUGGGUAGCUAGAGUGUAGGAGAGGUAAGCGGAAUUCCUGGUGUAGCGGUGAAAUCCGUAGAGAUUAAGAGGAACACUCAUGGCGAAGGCGGCCUACUAGAACAUAACUGACGCUGAGGCGCGAAAGCGUGGGGAGCAAACAGGAUUAGAUACCCCAGUAGUC
rnacentral:rRNA from 1 species